rnacentral:lncRNA from 1 species
ACAAAAAUUUUCAGGCUCAGAAAGUGUCACGAAUUUCUCCCAGUAAGAAUCAGUACACGCGAAACUGCGUCACAAUGGCCGAGCUGCUUUUCGCUAACUGCGUCACAACGCCAGGUGCGGCGAGCACGCCCCAAAACUACCGAAAUAAGUUACAAUAUUGUUGUGGGUCCAUAGGAAGCGUCGCAAACGUGUCCCAGUGC